CUGGCAUAGUAGUAUUUUUACUACCAUGGAGUAGUGUCCUUUGGAUUUAGCUGCAAUUAGGUCAUUUGUAACUUUAGUCAGAUCAGUCUCAGUAGAGUGGAGGGCGUGGAAGACAGAUUGAAGAUGGUCGAGGAUAGAGUUGGAAUUGAGGAAACAAGUAAAGUCAAGUCUUUCUAUAAGCUUUAAGGAAAAAGGGAACAGGAUUAUGGGACGAUAGUUGGAAGUGGAAGAUGGG